rnacentral:piRNA from 1 species
AAUAUUCUGCACUUGUUAGGAACACGCAUA